GGGUGCGAUCAUACCAGCAAUAACGCUCCGGAUCCCAUCAGAACUCCGAAGUUAAGCUUGCUUGGGCGAGAGUAGUACUAGGAUGAGUGACCUCCUAGGAAGUCCUCGUGUUGCACCCUU
rnacentral:rRNA from 1 species